rnacentral:rRNA from 1 species
CCCUUAGAUGUUCUGGGCCGCACGCGCGCUACACUGAUGCAUUCAACGAGUCUAAAACCUGCUCUGAUAGGGGUGGGUAAUCUUUUGAAUGUGCAUCGUGAUUGGGAUAGAUGAUUGCAAUUUUUCAUCUUCAACGAGGAAUGCCUAGUAAACGCAAGUCAUCAGCUUGCAUUGAUUACGUCCCUGCCCUUUGUACACACCGCCCGUCGCUCCUACCGAUUGAAUGAUCCGAUGAAUAUCAUAGACUGAGAGUAUAAGCAGGUUCGCCUGUCUUUGCUUCUCGGGAAGUGAAGUAAAUCUUAUCAUUUAGAGGAAGGAGAAGGCGUAACA